UAUUAUAAUAAAAAGCUCUUCUCAUUCAAUAUGGCUGUUAAGUGAUAUGUAAGCACGACACGAAGAAAAUCAACAGGUACAACAUCUGUUUCCGUAGAAGCCCUGGUGUUGUGAAGAAUAUGGACUUCAACCCUGUAAGCAGAGAUAACCUGACCUGACCUAACCUAAUACAACCAAUCCAUGAAGGAACAGUGUGGUACCAACAAUCACUGUUGAAUUGUUUAGGGCCUGUACGGAUUUCCAUGCCAAGAGUCAUGGGUUCUGGCAGGGAGGGAGGGAGCAACCCGGGCAUCUGCUCCCCUUAGAUUUUUUAAAUAAAUCAUAAUAAAUAUAGAAAGAGAUAUUAAAUACAGUAAUAAAAAAUUAGAAGUUACUUUCAACUAAAUGUAUCCUUCUAUCCUGAAUAUUCAUCCCAGAAUUGGAGCCCGAAGGAGCAGCAGCAAAAUGUGGUGCACUGUAUGUUGGAGAUGCGAUACUUUAUGGAAAUGGCCAGGACUUGAAGCAGGCCUCUCAUCAAGAAGCUGUGGAUAUCUUGCAGAUGCAGUUGGGUGACAUGCGCUUGGAAGUGCAGUACAUUGCAGCAGAGGACAGCGGUGAGGAGAAUUCGCUUGGAGAAGACAUGUAUGGCUUUAGUUGAUGAAACAGAUGAGCUCAACAGACACCCACUCGGAAUGCUUAGCCUCCUGCAGCAGAAGCAGAAAGAAAUGCAGUCUCCAUUUGUGGUCCUUAGUGGCGGUAAACAAACAUGAGGCAACCAUCUCAAAAACAAAACUGCAAAUUCUUCAUGAAAUAUGCUGGCACCAACUCUGAAGUUUGGCAUGGACUUAUGUUUUUAUUGUUUCUUACUGUCUGGAAUAUCAUCUCUAUUUUUAAAUAAGACACAGCUUGCAGCUGCCGACAGUGCCUAUGUGUACUGGAAGGAAGGCCACAGAGUUCAUGUCACAUUCAAAUGAGUACGGUGGUUCUCCUGCUUCCUUAUGUAACCUGUUGGCACCUGUAAGCUGGAAAAUACAAUUUCUAGUGAGUAGUUGCUUGUUUAUAGGACUUGAGCCAGAUGAACAGCCUUUAAGCUAAAUCAGACAUGAAGUAAUUAUAUUUGGCCUUUCUUGAUUGCAAUAGCCAUAUUGUAUCCUUCCAAGGGAAGAAGAAACCCUUGUUAAGUUGUAGGCCAGUAUGGAAAGCUGUAAAAUUAUACAAGCAACAGAAUCAGAAGCUGUACAGUCUACUGCAAAUCAUUGUAAAGCACCACUGAUAUAUCACUGAAACAUUUGUAAUGGGUUAUAAAAGUAACUUGGUUCAUCCUGGUUCGUCACACUAGUAAUUGUAUGUAAGGGUUUUAACCACUGUCCAGUGUGAUGGAUAACAGUUGUUUUCAAUUUUUCAUCCUUUACAUGUUCCAAUCAAAAUGACCAUCU